rnacentral:rRNA from 1 species
CUACGAUCUCUCUGUCCCCACCCCACCACCCGCAGCCCAACCAACCCACCUUAUCCACCCGCAGCCCACCCCACCGCACGUUCUCUCUCCCUCUCUCUCGUACCUUUCUCUCUCGCCGGCGUAUCCCGCUCGCCCGCCUCCAGAUUGACCCGCCGGCGCCACCAGCCUCGGUCCUCCGGCCAGCGAAUCCUCUGCCACCGCCGGCAGGCCUCCGGCCUCCCCUUCCUCUGCUCCGUCCCUCUCUGAAUCCUCCCUCUCUCUUUCUCCAGGAACAACCGAGGCGGGCGGCGCGAGCAGGGCAUGGUCGCUCCGGGCUGCAAGAGACGCGCGGGCGGGCGGCGCUAGCAGGGCAGCCGGCGCGGGAGGCCGCUGCGAGCGACGCUCGGGCGGGCGGCGCUAGCAGGGCGCGGGCGAGCAGGGCCGUGCGGCUACGCGGCGAGCAUGGCCGGGCGCCGGUUCGGAGACCAGGUCGGGCGACCAGGGCACGCCUUCUGCCGGCCGGUGCGGGCAGGGCAGCCGGCGCGGGAGGCCGCUGCAAGCGACGCGCGGGCGGUCGGCGCUAGCAGGGCGCGGGCGAGCUGGGCCGUGCGUCUGCGCGGCGAGCAUGGCCGGGCGCUGGUGCAGAGGAUGGCUGUGCGGUGGCGCGGCUAGGCGAGCAGGGCAAGGCGGCGGCAUGGAUCCCCGGCCAGUAGAAGGACGGCCGACGGUCAAGUCCCUGUUCCUGCAGUGGAGAAGGACGAAGGACUUGAUUGUUUUUACUUUUACUUUCUAGGGUCCUUUGUGUAAAUUUUCAGGACAACUGUGUAACUUCUCUAUAACUCCACCUACAAGUGUAACUUCUCUGUAACUCCACCAGUCCACCUACAAUGAAUGAAAGGUAGCACGGCCGUGUCGAAACCAAAUCUAACGUGAGCUGAACCUGCUCUAUUGAUUUGAUGUUCAUGUGUCCGGCGAGAUGCUCUGCUCUGACGUCAUUUAAAAAAAUGCAAAACAGUCU